UAAAAGGUCGGUAUUAUGGGGAUAUCCAACCGGAGAUUCCCACCAAAACAUGGUAUUCUAGAUACCGCUUGGCGGAUAAACGAUCCACCUCGGUUGUUUGUCGGUUGCGCAUUGGCCAUACAUGCACCCCUCUACAUCUGUUUAAAUUAAACUUACGUAACACGCCCAUGUGUGACUGUGAAACUGAAGAAGGCUCCACAGAUCAUAUACUUUUUAAUUGCCCUUUACGACCUAUUUCAUUAUACGAUAUCCUUCCUUCGAAAAUUCCUAGGCCCAUUAACGCGAAAUCCCUAUUAUUAUUUACUAACACGUCGUUCAUAAAAUUACUGUGCAAUUACAUACAAAAGAAAUAGUGAUACCUUUGGAAGUACUUUUAUGGACAUUAUCUAUGGACAAAUGUGAUCCCUAUACUUGACAUUGGCAGUAAUGGUUGUCUCUACUCUAUGACGACCGGUUGCCAUACAACCAUAAAGUUGAAGUUGAAUUCCGUAACUUAUCCUCUCAAUUUUUGUAGCUGUAUAUCUAACUUUCACCAUGUCCCAUAAGUGUAGUGUUGUGAGUUGUGAUAGUAGACGAAAGGACGUAAAUUUUUAUAGAUUUCCAAAAAUCUGAGAUAGAACUCCAAAAAUGGAUAGAGUGCACAUUGGUUCUGAAAAAUUGCAAAGUGUCCUGAACUUACCAAAAACAGAAAAGGUUUUUCUCAUCGCCACGAGUAAGAUCUCGUCUCAGCAUCGACGCUUAUCCAACAUUAUUUGUUAUUAACAUUAUCUUAUUACAUGGCUUACACCACGACGCCGAUGGAACCAAAAAUGUCUCUCAUGAGCACAAUUUUUGCAAGAAGAGACUGCAUGAAAACCAUUCCUACAGCAAAGUUGAAGUUCCAGAGAAACGUAGAAGUGAUGCACCCAUUUACUUCACCCCUCGACGCCCUACAUAAAGAAGGCGUGUGAUUUUCACGAAAAAUCUCUGACAUCAAUUUGUGCAAGAAUUUACUCUGAGUACAUGAGAUCCAG